rnacentral:rRNA from 1 species
GACGAACGCUGGCGGCGUGCCUAAUACAUGCAAGUCGAACGCAGUGGGGACGGGUGAGUAACACGUGGGUAACCUACCAUCAGAGGGGAUAACACUUGGAAACAGGUGCUAAACGGGUACUGAUGGAUGGACCCUCGGUGCAUGAGCUAGUUGGUGAGUUAACGGCUCACAAAGGCCACGAUGCAUAGCCGAACUGAGAGGGGGAUCGGCCACACUGGGACUGAGACACGGCCCAGACGCCUACGGGAGGCAGCAGUGGGGAAUAUUGCACAAUGGGCGCAAGCCGGAUGCAGCCAUGCCGCGUGUAUGAAGCAGGCCCUAGGGUUGUAAAGUACUUUCAGUCGGGAGGCGUUACCGACAGAAGAAGCACCGGCUAACUCCGUGCCAGCAGCCGCGGUAAUUC